rnacentral:rRNA from 1 species
AUGCUUCAAACUGGUAAAAGGCAGGCUAUGUUAGAUCUAGAACGCAUAGACGUGGUAAUCCUAUUAUCUGGAGUUUGUAUUGCAGCUUGCAUACAGACAACAAGCACGCUUGUAGUUGUAGAGCCAACCUUGAUAUGCAGCUUUUUUACUGUUUAUGGGGCAGAUAGAGAUAUCCUUGUAUGUGCUGUUAUGGUUACAAAAGGAGGCUGGUAUUACAAAAGGAGAGAACAAGAACCUGUUUGGAAGCAUGAUGGAUAUCUCGAACCGCAACCCUGUAGACAUAAGUGUACUCUAGUCUUCAGUGAUGCAAAAAUAACAGCAUACCUACAAGGAAAAUAA